rnacentral:rRNA from 1 species
UGGGGAAUUUUGGACAAUGGGGGCAACCCUGAUCCAGCCAUGCCGCGUGCGGGAAGAAGGCCUUCGGGUUGUAAACCGCUUUUGUCCGGGAAGAAAAGACCACGGUUAAUACCUGUGGUUCUUGACGGUACUGGAAGAAUAAGCACCGGCUAACUACGUG